GUUCAACAAGGAUAGGGUAGCACUUAGCUUGUCUUGACAAGACCUCUUUGAUUCUAUAUGGAAACAAGUCUGAUCAGCAGAGAAAGUCCCCCUAAUGGAAGGCAGCGUUUCCGUUGGCUUGACAGAAUCUGCCUUUUGUGGAGGCUGGGCAGGACGCCAUACUUGGUUAUCUGCUGGAGAAGACCUCACUGCCUCAUCAGCUCCUGGAGCUACAUGAGUUUGCAGGGCUGGAGCUUGGGAGAAUGACCAAUAUGGAAAUGUGUUUUGCUUGAUUAAAUAUGUAUAAUCUAAAAAAAAAAGAAUAUGAAGACAAAUAAGGUCCAAUAAGAUUCAAUAGAAAUUGUAUAAGACAUUAA